ensembl:rRNA 5S_rRNA 5S ribosomal RNA
GUCUGUGGCAAUACCAUCAUGAACACUCCUGAUCUCAUCUGAUCUCAGAAGAAAAUAAUAAUAGAAAACCGAAAUAUCUCAGUCU